rfam:Salmo salar isolate Sally breed double haploid chromosome ssa11, whole genome shotgun sequence.
CCCCGUGUAGCUCAGUUGGUAGAGCAUGGUGUUUGCAACGCCAGGGUUGUGGGUUCGAUUCCCACGGGGG